UUUUAGAAAUUAAUUUAAAGUCUAACCUGCCCACUGAAUAAUUUUAAAUGGCCGCAGUAUCCUAACUGUGCAAAGGUAGCAUAAUCAUUAGUCUUUUAAUUGAAGGCUUGUAUGAAUGGUUGGAUGAAAUAUUAACUGUUUCAUAUAAAUUUAUAAUAAAAUUUUAUUUUUUAGUCAAAAAGCUAAAAUAAAAUUAAAAGACGAGAAGACCCUAUAAAUCUUUAUAUUUAAAUGAUUAUAAUUAUUUAGAUAAAUUAAAUUAUAAUUUUUAUAAAUAUUUUAUUGGGGUGAUAUUAAAAUUUAACAAACUUUUAAUUUAUAAUUAACAUAAAUUAAUGAAUUAUUGAUCCAUUUAUAAUGAUUAAAAAAUUAAGUUACUUUAGGGAUAACAGCGUAAUUUUUUUAGAGAGUUCAUAUUGAUAAAAA
rnacentral:rRNA from 1 species